rnacentral:misc_RNA from 1 species
UAAGACUGAAACAAACCCUAAGGUAUUGCUGGCUUCUUGUUUACCAUCUAGUUGUACUUUCUUUAUACUAAUGUGUAUACUUUGUUGUAUAAUUUUGUGAAGUUUGAUAUGAAAUAAAGUGUCAUCAGAAGAACUAUGAGUUAUCCGUUAACAAAAUGUUGAAAUUGAAGUUCUUAUGACAGUCAUAAAAAGUUAUCUGGGCAUGCAAAUUUUACAUUUGUUGAUAGAUAAUGUAAUAAUGUUGCACAUGUUGUCCUUAUAUGUAUAUAUAAUAUGUAACUAUUUACAUAUCUAUCUCUUGAUGUGCAUGCAUAUGUGUGCUUGAUGUGUUAUAAUUGAUAUUCUGUAGGGC